rnacentral:rRNA from 1 species
UACGUAGGGGGCGAGCGUUGUCCGGAAUUACUGGGCGUAAAGGGUGCGUAGGCGGCUUGGCAAGUCCUGUGUGAAAGGUCGCGGCUUAACCGCGGUGGGUCAUGGGAAACUGCUGAGCUAGAGUGCCGGAGAGGAUAGCGGAAUUCCAGGUGUAGCGGUGAAAUGCGUAGAGAUCUGGAGGAACACCAGUGGCGAAGGCGGCUAUCUGGAAGGUUACUGACGCUGAGGCACGACAGCUGGGGGAGCAAACAGG